UCCCUGAUGGCUCAGAUGGUAAAGAAUCUGCCUGCAAUGCAGGAGGCCUAGGUCCGACCCCUGGGUUGGGAA
rnacentral:tRNA from 1 species